UACGUAGGGUCCGAGCGUUGUCCGGAAUUAUUGGGCGUAAAGAGCUCGUAGGCGGUUUGUCGCGUCUGCCGUGAAAGUCCGGGGCUCAACUCCGGAUCUGCGGUGGGUACGGGUAGACUAGAGUGAUGUAGGGGAGACUGGAAUUCCUGGUGUAGCGGUGAAAUGCGCAGAUAUCAGGAGGAACACCGAUGGCGAAGGCAGGUCUCUGGGCAUUAACUGACGCUGAGGAGCGAAAGCAUGGGGAGCGAACAGG
rnacentral:rRNA from 1 species